rnacentral:rRNA from 1 species
UACGUAGGGUGCGAGCGUUAAUCGGAAUUACUGGGCGUAAAGCGUGCGCAGGCGGUUCGUUGUGUCGGCGGUGAAAGCCCCGGGCUUAACCUGGGAAUGGCCGUCGAAACUGGCGAACUGGAGUGUGGCAGAGGGGGGUGGAAUUCCGCGUGUAGCAGUGAAAUGCGUAGAGAUGCGGAGGAACACCGAUGGCGAAGGCAGCCCCCUGGGCUGACACUGACGCUCAGGCACGAAAGCUGGGGGAGCGAACAGG